AGCAGCCGCGGUAAUUCCAGCUCCAAUAGCGUAUAUUAAAGUUGUUGCAGUUAAAAAGCUCGUAGUUGAAUUUCGGGAUUAGUACGUUGGUCGUGCCUUAGGUACGUACUGGUGUUACUGGUUCCUACCUUCUGACGAACCAUCAUGUCAUUAAUUUGGUGUGGCGGGGAAUCAGGACUGUUACUUUGAAAAAUUAGAGUGUUUAAAGCAGGCUCGCGCUUGAAUACAUUAGCAUGGAAUAAUGAAAUAGGACGUUGACCCUAUUUUGUUGGUUUCUAGGAUUGACGUAAUGAUUAAUAGGGAUAGUUGGGGGCAUUAGUAUUCAAUUGUCAGAGGUGAAAUUCUUGGAUUUAUUGAAGACUAACUACUGCGAAAGCAUUUGCCAAGGAUGUUUUCAUUAAUCAAGAACGAAAGUUAGGGGAUCGAAGACGAUCAGAUACCGUCGUAGUC
rnacentral:rRNA from 2 species